rnacentral:rRNA from 1 species
AGUGAACGCUGGCGGCAGGCCUAACACAUGCAAGUCGAGCGGCAGCGGGUCCUUCGGGAUGCCGGCGAGCGGCGGACGGGUGAGGAAUACAUCGGAAUCUGCCCUGUCGUGGGGGAUAACCUAGGGAAACUUAGGCUAAUACCGCAUACGACCUACGGGUGAAAGCGGGGGAUCGCAAGACCUCGCGCGACAGGAUGAGCCGAUGUCCGAUUAGCUAGUUGGCGGGGUAAAGGCCCACCAAGGCGACGAUCGGUAGCUGGUCUGAGAGGAUGAUCAGCCACACUGGGACUGAGACACGGCCCAGACUCCUACGGGAGGCAGCAGUGGGGAAUAUUGGACAAUGGGCGCAAGCCUGAUCCAGCCAUGCCGCGUGGGUGAAGAAGGCCUUCGGGCUGUAAAGCCCUUUUGUCCGGGAAGAAAUCGUCUGGGCUAAUACCCCGGGCGGAUGACGGUACCGGAAGAAUAAGCACCGGCUAACUUCGUG